rnacentral:rRNA from 1 species
GGGUGAUAAGGUCCAUGGUCAAAAGGGAAAGAGCCCAGACCGCCAGCUAAGGCCCCCAAGUGUCCGUUAAGUGGAAAAGGAUGUGGAGAUGCACAGACAACUAGGAGGUUGGCUUAGAAGCAGCCAUCCUUUAAAGAGUGCGUAAUAGCUCACUAGUCGAGUGACUCUGCGCCGAAAAUGUACCGGGGCUAAACGGACCGCCGAAGCUGCGGAUUGACACUUAGGUGUCAGUGGUAGGAGAGCGUUCUAACAGCGGAGAAGCAGUACCGGAAGGAGCUGUGGAGCGGUUAGAAGUGAGAAUGCCGGUGUGAGUAGCGAAAGAUAGGUGAGAAUCCUAUCCAUCGAAAGCCUAAGGUUUCCAGGGGAAGGCUCGUCCGCCCUGGGUAAGUCGGGACCUAAGGUGAGGCCGAAAGGCGUAGCCGAUGGACAACAGGUUGAUAUUCCUGUACCACUUAUUAAACUGAUGGAGUGACGGAGAAGGCUAAGUUGAGCGUGUUAAUGGAUUCACGUGUAAGCAGUGAGGUGGUCAUGUAGGCAAAUCCGCAUGGCAUAACAUUGAGCUGUGAUGCCGAAGCCGUAUGGCGAAGUCAACUGAUGUCACGCUUCCAAGAAAAGCUUCUAGGGUUAAUUUAGUAAGUGCCCGUACCGAUAACCGACACAGGUAGGCGAGGAGAGAAUCCUAAGAUGAGCGAGAGAACUCUUGUUAAGGAACUCGGCAAAAUGACCCCGUAACUUCGGGAGAAGGGGUGCUUGUGAAAGCAAGCCGCAGUGAAUAGGCCCAGGCGACUGUUUAUCAAAAACACAGGUCUCUGCUAAACCGCAAGGUGAUGUAUAGGGGCUGACGCCUGCCCGGUGCUGGAAGGUUAAGAGGAGAGGUUAGCGCAAGCGAAGCUUUGAAUUGAAGCCCCAGUAAACGGCGGCCGUAACUAUAACGGUCCUAAGGUAGCGAAAUUCCUUGUCGGGUAAGUUCCGACCCGCACGAAAGGCGUAACGAUCUGGGCGCUGUCUCAACAAGAGACUCGGUGAAAUUAUAGUACCUGUGAAGAUGCAGGUUACCCGCGACAGGACGGAAAGACCCCGUGGAGCUUUACUGCAGCCUGAUAUUGAGCACUGGUGACACAUGUACAGGAUAGGUAGGAGACGAAGAAGCCAGGACGCCAGUCUUGGUGGAGUCGCUGUUGGGAUACUACCCUUGUGUUACUGGGGUUCUAACCCGUGGCCAUGAUCUGGUCAGGGAACAGUGUCAGGUGGGCAGUUUGACUGGGGCGGUCGCCUCCUAAAAGGUAACGGAGGCGCCCAAAGGUUCCCUCAGAAUGGUUGGAAAUCAUUCGAAGAGUGUAAAGGCAGAAGGGAGCUUGACUGCGAGACCUACAAGUCGAGCAGGGACGAAAGUCGGGCUUAGUGAUCCGGCGGUACCGAAUGGAAGGGCCGUCGCUCAACGGAUAAAAGGUACCCCGGGGAUAACAGGCUGAU